UUUAAACUUUUGAUAUCACAGUUGAACAGAAAGAAGAAUUUAUUUACAAAAUUCAAAUGUGAAAUGAAAUACAAUAAAAAUAUAUAAAAAAAAAAACGAAACAGGAUAAAUUUAAUAUGUACAAGAGACAAAUAUAGAUCAUUAUAAAAUAACAAAGAUGGUUAAAUAAUUUCACUGUGAAGUGCUAAAAGUAGAAAAAGGUUAUUAAAAUAUUUUUUUAGUUUACUUAUCUGUAAGUUAUGCUAAAGAGAGAGUCAACAGAGCUAAGGACCCAGCAGGCAAAGAAUUGUUAGCAAAUGCUAAAACUACACAACUUAUACAAUAGAAAGCAAGUGAAAAUAUCAAGAAUUAUAAAGCUAUGUAAGAUUGUGGUAGAAUUUUAAAAAAAUGAAUAACAAAAAGAUUUAUAAAAAGGAUACAAAACAGCCUCCACACUUUUAUAAAUAUAUACAAAUAAUAUAACUGAGCCACAAGAAGUCUAGAAAACCAUUUAUAAGGCAACAGUGCUAAAGUAAUAAAAAGUUCAAAAAACACUUUCCUCAGUGAAUCUGCCGGUCAGUUU